AAAGAAACAUUUAUUGAACUUCAAUAUAAAAAACAAUAUUUAACAAAUAGUAAAAACAGGUGAGGUAGAACAAGUAAAAAAAAAAAAAAAAAAAAAAAA